UACGUAGGGUGCGAGCGUUAAUCGGAAUCAUUGGGCGUAAAGCGCGUGUAGGCGGUCCGGUAAGUCCGCUGUGAAAGUCGGGGGGCUCAACCUUUGAAAGCCGAUGGAUACUGCAGGGCUAGAGUCCGGAAGAGGCGAGUGGAAUUCCUGGUGUAGCGGUGGAAUGCGCAGAUAUCAGGAGGAACACCGGUGGCGAAGGCGGGUCUCUGGGCAACAACUGACGCUGAGGAGCGAAAGCGUGGGGAGCGAACAGG
rnacentral:rRNA from 1 species